rnacentral:rRNA from 1 species
AUUGAACGCUGGCGGCAGGCUUAACACAUGCAAGUCGAGCGGGGUGAUGGUGCUUGCACUAUCACUUAGCGGCGGACGGGUGAGUAAUGCUUAGGAAUCUGCCUAUUAGUGGGGGACAACAUCUCGAAAGGGAUGCUAAUACCGCAUACGUCCUACGGGAGAAAGCAGGGGAUCACUUGUGACCUUGCGCUAAUAGAUGAGCCUAAGUCGGAUUAGCUAGUUGGUGGGGUAAAGGCCUACCAAGGCGACGAUCUGUAGCGGGUCUGAGAGGAUGAUCCGCCACACUGGGACUGAGACACGGCCCAGACUCCUACGGGAGGCAGCAGUGGGGAAUAUUGGACAAUGGGGGGAACCCUGAUCCAGCCAUGCCGCGUGUGUGAAGAAGGCCUUAUGGUUGUAAAGCACUUUAAGCGAGGAGGAGGCUCUUUUGGUUAAUACCCAGGAUGAGUGGACGUUACUCGCAGGACAAGCACCGGCUAACUCUGUGCCAGCAGCCGCCGUAAAAC